AACGUAGGGGGCCAGCGUUGCUCGGAAUUACUGGGCGUAAAGGGUCCGUAGGCGGUGUGGCAAGUCGGUAGUGAAAUCUCUAGGCUUAACCUAGAGGCUGCUGCCGAAACUGCCGUGCUAGAGUGUGAGAGAGGCGAGUGGAAUUACGGGUGUAGCGGUGAAAUGCGUAGAUAUCCGUAGGAACAUCCGAGGCGAAAGCGGCUCGCUGGAUCACAACUGACGCUGAGGGACGAAAGCUAGGGGAG
rnacentral:rRNA from 1 species